AAGAGAGAGAAUCUGUCCCAAAUUAAUCGUAAUAUAAAAAUUUCAAAAAUCGAUGAGAUAUAUUUUAAUAUACAAUAAAAUCUAUGUCAUCGAUUUUUAAAUGUUUCUCUUACAAUUAAUUUGGGACAGAUUCUCUCUAUU